ensembl:miRNA gga-mir-6550 gga-mir-6550
GCUUGCAGGUAGGAGCUUCAAAGCAGCCCAGGAAGCGCUGCUGCAAAACGUGGCUCCACCCUCGGCUGCUUUGAAGUUCCCACUUCCAGCACUUCUUCCU